rnacentral:rRNA from 1 species
UACGUAGGUGGCAAGCGUUGUCCGGAUUUACUGGGCGUAAAGAGCGCGCAGGCGGUCAGCCAAGUCGAGUGUGAAAGCCCCCGGCUCAACUGGGGAGGGUCAUUCGAUACUGGCCGACUCGAAGGCAGGAGAGGGAAGCGGAAUUCCCGGUGUAGUGGUGAAAUGCGUAGAUAUCGAGAGGAACACCUGCGGCGAAGGCGGGUAGCUGGGCCGACACUGACGCUGAUGCGCGAAAGCCAGGGGAGCGAACGGG